UUAUUGGGCGAAAGGGCUUCGCAGGCGGUUUCCUUAAGUCUGAUGUGAAAGCCCCCGGCUCAACCGGGGAGGGUCAUUGGAAACUGGGAAACUUGAGUGCAGAAGAGGAGAGUGGAAUUCCACGUGUAGCGGUGAAAUGCGUAGAGAUGUGGAGGAACACCAGUGGCGAAGGCGACUCUCUGGUCUGUAACUGACGCUGAGGAGCGAAAGCGUGGGGAGCGAACAGGAUUAGAUACCCUGGUAGUCCACGCCGUAAACGAUGAGUGCUAAGUGUUAGGGGGUUUCCGCCCCUUAGUGCUGCAGCUAACGCAUUAAGCACUCCGCCUGGGGAGUACGGUCGCAAGACUGAAACUCAAAGGAAUUGACGGGGGCCCGCACAAGCGGUGGAGCAUGUGGUUUAAUUCGAAGCAACGCGAAGAACCUUACCAGGUCUUGACAUCCUCUGACAACCCUAGAGAUAGGGCUUUCCCUUCGGGGACAGAGUGACAGGUGGUGCAUGGUUGUCGUCAGCUCGUGUCGUGAGAUGUUGGGUUAAGUCCCGCAACGAGCGCAACCCUUGAUCUUAGUUGCCAGCAUUCAGUUGGGCACUCUAAGGUGACUGCCGGUGACAAACCGGAGGAAGGUGGGGAUGACGUCAAAUCAUCAUGCCCCUUAUGACCUGGGCUACACACGUGCUACAAUGGACAGAACAAAGGGCUGCAAGAC
rnacentral:rRNA from 1 species